AUUCCAGCUCCAAUAGCGUAUAUUUAAGUUGUUGCAGUUAAAAAGCUCGUAGUUGGAUUUUGGGUCGACGACACCGGUCCGCCGUUCCGGUGUGCACUGGUGGCGUCUUCCUUUCUGCCGGGGACGCGUGUCUGGGCUUCAUUGUCCGGCGCGCGGAGUCGGCGUUGUUACUUUGAAAAAAUUAGAGUGUUCAAAGCAGGCAUUUGCUGUGAAUACAUUAGCAUGGAAUAAUAAGAUAGGACUUUGGCGCUAUUUUGUUGGUUUGCGUACCAAGGUAAUGAUUAAUAGGGAUAGUUGGGGGUAUUCGUAUUCAAUUGUCAGAGGUGAAAUUCUUGGAUUUUGGAAGGAUGAACUACUGCGAAGGCAUUUACCAAGGAUGUUUUCAUUA
rnacentral:rRNA from 1 species